GGGCGUUAAGUUGCAGGGUAUAGACCCGAAACCCGGUGAUCUAGCCAUGGGCAGGUUGAAGGUUGGGUAACACUAACUGGAGGACCGAACCGACUAAUGUUGAAAAAUUAGCGGAUGACCUGUGGCUGGGGGUGAAAGGCCAAUCAAACCGGGAGAUAGCUGGUUCUCCCCGAAAGCUAUUUAGGUAGCGCCUCGUGAAUUCAUCUCCGGGGGUAGAGCACUGUUUCGGCUAGGGGGCCAUCCCGGCUUACCAACCCGAUGCAAACUGCGAAUACCGGAGAAUGUUAUCACGGGAGACACACGGCGGGUGCUAACGUCCGUCGUGAAGAGGGAAACAACCCAGACCGCCAGCUAAGGUCCCAAAGUCAUGGUUAAGUGGGAAACGAUGUGGGAAGGCCCAGACAGCCAGGAUGUUGGCUUAGAAGCAGCCAUCAUUUAAAGAAAGCGUAAUAGCUCACUGGUCGAGUCGGCCUGCGCGGAAGAUGUAACGGGGCUAAACCAUGCACCGAAGCUGCGGCAGCGACACUGUGUGUUGUUGGGUAGGGGAGCGUUCUGUAAGCCUG
rnacentral:rRNA from 8 species